GAUUGGGACGAAGUCGUAACAAGGUAGCCGUACCGGAAGGUGCGGCUGGAUCACCUCCUUUCUAAGGAGCACCACGAAAACGCCCCAACUGGUGGGGCGUAGGCCGUGAGGGGUUCUUGUCUGUAGUGGGCGAGAGCCGGGUGCAUGACAACAAAGUUGGCCACCAACACACUGUUGGGUCCUGAGGCAACACUCGGACUUGUUCCAGGUGUUGUCCCACCGCCUUGGUGGUGGGGUGUGGUGUUUGAGAACUGGAUAGUGGUUGCGAGCAUCAAUGGAUACGCUGCCGGCUAGCGGUGGCGUGUUCUUUGUGCAAUAUUCUUUGGUUUUUGUUGUGUUUGUAAGUGUCUAAGGGCGCAUGGUGGAUGCCUUGGCAUCGAGAGCCGAUGAAGGACGUGGGAGGCU
rnacentral:misc_RNA from 1 species